AACGAACGCUGGCGGCAUGCCUAACACAUGCAAGUCGAACGAGACCUUCGGGUCUAGUGGCGCACGGGUGCGUAACGCGUGGGAACCUGCCCUUAGGUUCGGAAUAACUCCCCGAAAGGGGUGCUAAUACCGGAUAAUGUCUUCGGACCAAAGAUUUAUCGCCUUUGGAUGGGCCCGCGUUGGAUUAGCUAGUUGGUAGGGUAAAAGCCUACCAAGGCGACGAUCCAUAGCUGGUCUGAGAGGAUGAUCAGCCACACUGGGACUGAGACACGGCCCAGACUCCUACGAGAGGCAGCAGUGGGGAAUAUUGGACAAUGGGCGAAAGCCUGAUCCAGCAAUGCCGCGUGAGUGAUGAAGGCCUUAGGGUUGUAAAGCUCUUUUACCCGGGAUGAUAAUGACAGUACCGGGAGAAUAAGCGCCGGCUAACUCCGUG
rnacentral:rRNA from 1 species